rnacentral:rRNA from 1 species
GAUGAACGCUAGCUACAGGCUUAACACAUGCAAGUCGAGGGGCAGCAUGGUCUUAGCUUGCUAAGGCCGAUGGCGACCGGCGCACGGGUGAGUAACACGUAUCCAACCUGCCGUCUACUCUUGGACAGCCUUCUGAAAGGAAGAUUAAUACAAGAUGGCAUCAUGAGUCCACAUGUUCACAUGAUUAAAGGUAUUCCGGUAGACGAUGGGGAUGCGUUCCAUUAGAUAGUAGGCGGGGUAACGGCCCACCUAGUCUUCGAUGGAUAGGGGUUCUGAGAGGAAGGUCCCCCACAUUGGAACUGAGACACGGUCCAAACUCCUACGGGAGGCAGCAGUGAGGAAUAUUGGUCAAUGGGCGAGAGCCUGAACCAGCCAAGUAGCGUGAAGGAUGACUGCCCUAUGGGUUGUAAACUUCUUUUAUAAAGGAAUAAAGUCGGGUAUGCAUACCCGUUUGCAUGUACUUUAUGAAUAAGGAUCGGCUAACUCCGUGCCAGCAGCCGCGGUAAUACGGAGGAUCCGAGCGUUAUCCGGAUUUAUUGGGUUUAAAGGGAGCGUAGAUGGAUGUUUAAGUCAGUUGUGAAAGUUUGCGGCUCAACCGUAAAAUUGCAGUUGAUACUGGAUAUCUUGAGUGCAGUUGAGGCAGGCGGAAUUCGUGGUGUAGCGGUGAAAUGCUUAGAUAUCACGAAGAACUCCGAUUGCGAAGGCAGCCUGCUAAGCUGCAACUGACAUUGAGGCUCGAAAGUGUGGGUAUCAAACAGGAUUAGAUACCCUGGUAGUCCACACGGUAAACGAUGAAUACUCGCUGUUUGCGAUAUACAGCAAGCGGCCAAGCGAAAGCGUUAAGUAUUCCACCUGGGGAGUACGCCGGCAACGGUGAAACUCAAAGGAAUUGACGGGGGCCCGCACAAGCGGAGGAACAUGUGGUUUAAUUCGAUGAUACGCGAGGAACCUUACCCGGGCUUAAAUUGCAGAUGAAUUACGGUGAAAGCCGUAAGCCGCAAGGCAUCUGUGAAGGUGCUGCAUGGUUGUCGUCAGCUCGUGCCGUGAGGUGUCGGCUUAAGUGCCAUAACGAGCGCAACCCUUGUUGUCAGUUACUAACAGGUCAUGCUGAGGACUCUGACAAGACUGCCAUCGUAAGAUGUGAGGAAGGUGGGGAUGACGUCAAAUCAGCACGGCCCUUACGUCCGGGGCUACACACGUGUUACAAUGGGGGGUACAGAGGGCCGCUACCACGCGAGUGGAUGCCAAUCCCAAAAACCUCUCUCAGUUCGGACUGGAGUCUGCAACCCGACUCCACGAAGCUGGAUUCGCUAGUAAUCGCGCAUCAGCCACGGCGCGGUGAAUACGUUCCCGGGCCUUGUACACACCGCCCGUCAAGCCAUGGGAGCCGGGGGUACCUGAAGUGCGUAACCGCGAGGAGCGCCCUAGGGUAAAAC